CAUGCAUGGGGGGAGAGUGCAGGGGAGCAAAGCCCUCCCGCCUACGUAUGUACUUUGAUAUAUUAUAUAAGAUAUAUUCAUCAUUAAAAGCUAACAAUAAGUGAUAUGCAUUAUAUAAGUAUACAUAUACGUUUCAAAUUCGCGCACUUUUGCAUGCGCGUGCGGCCACUGAGUAUGCGCAUAUGUGGCCGCUGAGCAUGUUCAGUGUCGAUUACCGAAAUAAUUUUUUGUUUUUAAGACUAAUAAUAAACCAACAAACGCUAAAAUUAGACCAACCAAUCAUUAGCAACGAUUACGCAUCGAUUAGACCGUUUUUUAAUUAAAAAUGAGAUUUUUCCGGCUAACUUAACGCUAAUUUUUCUUUUUUAAUUAAAAAAAAAUUAAGAACCAACAAACGUUGUAAUUAGGCCAACAAUCACCAACAAACGACCAACAAACGAUUAAAAAAAAAAAAUUAAUAAAGUCGAAGUUGACCGGCUAAGUUACCGGAGCUGAGCCAAUGCGGAGUGUCAACAGCUCCAAAAGAGUAGGUUGGCACCACUGCGGAGCGGCGGGACUUAAUACGUAGGAGCGUGCGGGACUGGCGUACGGAGCGAGUCGGCGGAUACGCAGCCUGCGUCAGCACGACAGCGAAUAAGAGAAUCGGCAAUUUUGACGAGUGAUGGAGAGCGAGGGAUCGACACGUGUCACCGCGACAAGGAUUGAGAGACGAGCGACGGGGAGCGAUUGCAGUGGAGGCGAAGAAGAGAAAAGAAAGAGUUGGAAGGAAUAGGCGAAGGGGAUAGCGAAGGUAGGGGAGGAGUUGGAGAAGAUUAGGAAGAUUAUGAGAAGCAGAGAGGGGGGAGCGGGAACGAAAAAUUCGGCCGCCGCACGGCAAGAGGACGGAGAGAGGAGAACGGGGGGAGAACGGAGAGAUGGGGGUACGGAGAGUGAAAGGUGGUGAACGAAGAGAGGCGAGAGGAGAACGUAGAGAGUGAAAAACGGUGAAAGGAUAGAUAAGGGAAAGGGCCGAAUUGAGGGCGAAGAGAAGGAAACGGAGGAGAGAGAGCGGAGAGAGGUAAAAAAGGGAGAGUGUGGAGGAAAGGGAGAAGGAGGAGAGAGGCAGGGGUUAUACACACACACACGCUCGCACGAGGAUUAGAGGAGGCGUAGAGAGAAAGAUAGAGGGGUGGUUAAGAGACAUGUGCUGAAGAAAGUUUGCUUAUAGGAGGAGGAGAAAGGUGAAGAGAGACGGAAGAACGGACUGAGAGCAGAAGCAGGGAACAGAGAGCAAAGAGACGAGACAAGAAGAGUGACAGGGUGGCGCAGGAGCGGGGAAGAGAGACGGAGAGAAGCGGGAUUAAAGAGGAGGUGGAGAGUCGAAGAGUGGGCACGGAAGGUAGGAGAAGGGAGCAGACUGGAGGAGAGAAGAAAGAAAGCAGGAAGAGAAAGGAGAGUUAUGGACGGAGGAUAGGUAAGAGAUGGCACGAGAAAGAGAAGGACAGGGAAGGGUGGGACAGGGAGGAGUACGGGGGCGGGUAUCGAGAGGGUGGGAGGGUGCUAGUAUGUUAAGGGUCGCUAUGGCCAGGCCGGGACACGAAAGAGACUUGUAAAGGGUUGGGUACGUCCCUAUAAAACGCCGCAUGUGUGGAUAAAAAGAGGUGUAUGUAUUUGUUUCUAAAGGGUUGGGAACGUUUCUUCAAAACGCCUUGCAAUCCUGAGGGGAGACAAUAAACGUAUCUAUCUGUUAGAUUGGCUUCAAUUUAAUAUUUUGUUAUUUUGUAACAUUGCGCAUUGUAAGAAGUGGAAUGUAACAAUAAAAUGUCUUCUUCUUCUUUUA